GCGGGAGUAGCUCAGUUGGCUAGAGCAUCAGCCUUCCAAGCUGAGGGUCGCGGGUUCGAAGCCCGUCUCCCGCUCCA
rnacentral:tRNA from 3 species